UCUCUCAAGAAAAGAAAGAAUGGGUUUCAACACGCAAGCACGGUGGUGGGUUCUUUCUUCUUCAACAAUCAAUCUCGUUGUUGAAUGCUACGUAGACGGGUUCUUUCUCCUUCUUGACUAUCCAAGAACCUUCAUUCUUGUUAAUUGUUAUAAAGAAUUGGACUGUGAUAUGAUUUCUCAUUCUUGAUUUUGACCGAAAUCAGAAGAUACUCGCGGAUAGUCGAAGGAAGUGGAACCGGGAACAUCACGUUGUAUUGUUUGGACUAAGUUCUGGUUUUAACGUGGAUGACCACACUGUUUCUCCUCGUCGCGUUUCUUUAAGACUCAACGGGAUUCCUAGGGUGCCAUUCUCUUCAUUUCUUUAAACAUCGAUAACAGGUUCAAUUCACUUUGAUCAACUUUUCGAUUGAACCAAUUUUUUUUACUUGUCUUUCAAUUUUGUUGCUUUCUAGCCCUUUCAUUUCCUUUGAUUUGCUUUGGUGAUGAUGUGAUUUAUGACUUACAUUUGGUGUGCAUGUUGUUGGGCUAUACAUAUUCCAACACAUUUUUCUCAUUCUUGAUUAUUCUAGAACUUUCAUCAUAUCAAAUCAUAUAUCAAAAGAGUAUACAAACCUUUUAAAUGGUUUAAUUGGUAUAAGUUGCCUCUGUGAGAUGAUUCUUGUGAGGUAUAGGAUGUCUCAACGACAACUAGGUGACCCUGAACGAAAUUGCAGUUUGAAUAUGAACUCUUUGUUCAUAACAUGUAUAAUAUACAAGAUGGUAUCUAUUAAGCUUUAAUGACUCUAGUCCCUAAUUGUUAUGUAAACUUUUUUUCAUAUUCAGAAGAAAGGAUGGUAUAUACCCUAAAUCUGACUGCAAGAUAAAUUUACUUUGUUAUAUGAUUUUUGUGAGGGGAUUGGUUGCCUUGAUGAUCGUAAAUUAAAAUUACAAGUUGUUAUCUAUUAAGCUUCAUUGACCUUUGUCUCUAAAUGAGAUGCAAUCUUUUUCAUAAUCUAAAAAAGGGUAGUGUUUAUGAGUUUGAUAGCCCAAAGUAGAGCAUCAAAAUGGAUAUACUUUGUUAUAGGAUUUUUGUGAGAGUUGGGAUGCCUUAAUGACCCUAAAUGAGAUUGAAUUAUAAACUUGUUAUUCACAAAUUAAUGUGAAAGUUGGAUGUCAACUUGGUUGCAAAUUCAUAUUUCAAAUAUGAAUUUUAUUCAUAAGGUAUCUAUUGAGCUUGGAUGACCUUUGACCCUAGAUGAGAUUAAAUCUUUUCUCAUUUAAAAGAUGUUUUUUUUUGUGAGUGCUAAGAAGUCUUGAUGACCCUAAAAGAAAUUACAUUAUGAACUAUUUAUUCUUAAUGUGGAAUCUAAAUGGUGCUUUAAUUACGAUUUCAAUUAUGAAUUUUUAUUUAUGAAGUAUGUCUAUUGAGUUUCGAUGACCCUAGUCCCUGAAUAAGAUGAAAUCUUUUUUCAUAAUAUGAAAAAUAUGAUUUGUGUGAGAGCCGAGAUGCCUCGAUGACCUUAAAUAAAAUUACAUGCAUUAAAUGCAAUUUUAAUUAUGAUUUUUUAUUCGUAAGGUAUCUAUUGAGCUUCAAUGACCCUUGUCCCUAACUGAGAUGAAAUAUUUUUUCAUAAUCUGAAAACUUUGAUUUUUGUCGGAGUUUAGAUGCCUCGAUGACCCUAAAUGAAAUUGCAUUAUAAACUCUUUAUUCAUAAUGUGAAGGCUGGAUGAUGAAUUAAAUGCAAUUUCUACAAUGAAUUUUUAUUCAUAAAGUAUCUAUUGGGCUUCAAUGACCUUAGUCCUUAAUGAGAUCAAAUCAUUUUUCAAUAAUCUAAAAUAAAUAUGUUUUUUGUGAGAGUUGGGAUGCAACCCUAAAUGAAAUUACAUUAUGAACUCUUCAUAAUUUGAUAGUUGGAUGACGCCUUAAAUGCAAUUUACAUUAUGAAUUUUUAUUCAUAAGAAAUUAAGCGUCCAUGACCCUAAAUGAAAUUGCAUUGUAAACUCUUUAUUCACAAUGUGAAGGCUGGAUGAUGAAUUAAAUGCAAUUUCAGCGAUGAAUUUUUAUUCAUAAGGUAUCUAUUGGACUUCAAUGACCCUAGUCCCUAAAUGAAAUCAAUUCUUUUUUCAAUAAUCUAAAAUAAAUAUGUUUUUUGUGAGAGUCGGGAUGCUUCGAUGACCCUAAAUGAAAUUAUAUUAUGAACUCUUCAUAAUUUGAUAGUUGAAUGACGCCUUAAAUGCAAUUUACAUUAUGAAUUUUUAUUCAUAAGAAAUUAAGCGUCCAUGACCCUAAAUGAAAUUGCAUUAUAACCUCUUUAUUCAUAAUGUGAAGGCUGGAUGAUGAAUUAAAUGCAAUUUCAGCGAUGAAUUUUUAUUCAUAAGGUCUAUUGGACUUUAAUGACCCUAGUCCCUAAAUGAGAUCAACUCUUUUUUCAAUAAUCUAAAAUAAAUAUGUUUUUUGUGAGAGUCGGGAUGCUUCGAUGACCCUAAAUGAAAUUACAUUAUGAAAUCUUCAUAAUUUGAUGGUUGGAUGACUCCUUAAAAGGAAUUUACAUUAUGAAUUUUUAUUCAUAAGAAAUUAAACGUCGUAGACUCUAGUCCCUAAAUGAGGUGAUUUCUUUUAUGGUUUGAUAAAAGGUUGGUUGCCUUGAUGACUAUAAAUUAAACUGCACUAUGUAAGAGAUGUAUCUAUUAAGUUUCAUUGACCUUUGUCCCUAAAUGAUAUUUUUUUCAUAUUCAGGAGAAAUAGUGGUAUAUACUCAAAGUCAGACUACAAGAUAAAUUUACUUUGUUAUAUGAUUUUUGUGAGGGAUUGGAUGCCUUGAUGAUGGUAAAUUAAAAUUACAAGAUAUUGUCUAUUAAGCUUCAUUGACCUUUGUCCCUAAUGAGAUGCAAUCUUUUUCAUAAUUUUAAAAAGGCAGUGUUUAUGAGUUUGAUAGCCCUAAGUAGAGCAUCAAGAUGGAUAUACUUUGUUAUAGGAUUUUUGUGAGAGUUGGGAUGCCUUAAUGACCCUAAAUGAGAUUGAAUUAUAAACUUGUUAUUCACAAUGUGAAAGUUGGAUGUCAACUUGGUUGCAAAUUCAUAUUUCAAAUAUGAAUUUUAUUCAUAAGGUAUCUAUUGAGCUUGAAUGACCUUUGACCCUAAAUGAGAUGAAAUCUUUUCUCAUUUAAAAGAUGUUUUUUUUUUUUUGUGAGUGCUAAGAAGUUUUGAUGACCCUAAAUGAAAUUAUAUUAUGAACUAUUUAUUCUUAAUGUGGAAUCUAAAUGGUGCUUUAAUUACGAUUUCAAUUAGGAAUUUUUAUUUAUAAAGUAUGUCUAUUGAGUUUCGAUGACCCUAGUACCUAAAUAAGAGGAAAUCUUUUUUCAUAAUAUGAAAAAUACGAUUUGUGUGAGAGCCGAGAUGCCUCGAUGACCUUAAAUAAAAUUACAUGCAUUAAAUGCAAUUUUAAUUAUGAAUUUUUAUUCGUAAGGUAUCUAUUGAGUUUCAAUGACCCUUGUCCCUAAAUGAGAUGAAAUAUUUUUUCAUAAUCUGAAAACUUUAAUUUUUGUCGGAGUUUAGAUGCCUCGAUGACCCUAAAUGAAAUUGCAUUAUAAACUCUUUAUUCAUAAUGUGAAGGCUGGAUGAUGAAUUAAAUGUAAUUUCUGCAAUGAAUUUUUAUUCAUAAAGUAUUUAUUGGGCUUCAAUGACCCUAGUCCUUUAAUGAGAUCAAAUCUUUUUUCAAUAAUCUAAAACAAAUAUGUUUUUUGUGAGAGUUGAGUUGCGACCUUAAAUGAAAUUACAUUAUGAACUCUUCAUAAUUUGAUAGUUGGAUGACGCUUUAAAUGCAAUUUACAUUAUGAAUUUUUAUUCAUAAGAAAUUAAGCGUCCAUGACCUUAAAUGAAAUUGCAUUGUAAACUCUUUAUUCACAAUGUGAAGGCUGAAUGAUGAAUUAAAUGCAAUUUUAGCAAUGAAUUUUUAUUCAUAAGGUAUCUAUUAGACUUCAAUGACCCUAGUCCCUAAAUGAAAUCAAUUCUUUUUUCAAUAAUCUAAAAUAAAUAUGUUUUUUGUGAGAGUUGGGAUGCUUCGAUGACCCUAAAUGAAAUUACAUUAUGAACUCUUCAUAAUUUGAUAGUUGGAUGGCGCCUUAAAUGCAAUUUACAUUAUGAUUUUUUAUUCAUAAGAAAUUAGGCGUCCAUGACUCUAAAUGAAAUUGCAUUAUAACCUCUUUGUUCAUAAUGUGAAGGCUGGAUGAUGAAUUAAAUGCAAUUUCAGCGACGAAUUUUUAUUCAUAAGGUAUCUAUUAAACUUCAAUGACCCUAAUCCCUAAAUGAGAUCAACUCUUUUUUCAAUAAUCUAAAAUAAAUAUGUUUUUUUAUGAGAGUCAGGAUGCUUCGAUGACCCUAAAUGAAAUUACAUUAUGAACUCUUCAUAAUUUGAUGGUUGGAUGACGCCUUAAAUGAAAUUUACAUUAUAAGUUUUUAUUCAUAAGAAAUUAAGCGUCCAAGACCCUAAAUAAAAUUGCAUUAUAACCUCUUUAUUCAUAAUGUGAAGGCUGUGUGAUGAAUUAAAUGCAAUUUCAGCCAUGAAUUUUUAUUCAUAAGGUAUCUAUUGGACUUCAAUGACCCUAGUCCCUAAAUGAGAUGAACUCUUUUUUCAAUAAUCUAAAAUAAAUAUGUUUUUUGUGAUAGUCGGGAUGCUUCGAUGAUCCUAAAUGAAAUUACAUUAUGAAUUAUUCAUAAUUUGAUAGUUGGAUGAUGCCUUAAAUGCAAUUUACAUUAUGAAUUUUUAUUCAUAAGAAAUUAAGGCAUUUAAGGCAUCAUUUAGGAUAAUUCAUAAUGUAAUUUCAUUUAGGGGGUAUAUUACGAAUUGAAUGCAUAAUGCGAUAUCUUUUCUCCUUAUCUCAAAAGGGGGUAUAUAUGAUUCUAAUAAUCCCAAGUUGGAUUGCAAUAUAAGUAUACUGAUAUAUGAAUUUUGUGAGGGGUUAGAUAUUGGGAAGAUCCUAAAUUUAAUUUUAUGAGGAGCUAUCUUUCAAAAUCUAAGGCCAGACAUUCAUAAUGUACAAAAUGAUUUUAGUGAGCUUUGAUGACUCCUCAAAUGAGAUGUUUUUUUUCUUCAUAAUAUGAAAAAGGAGGUGGUAUCUAUGAACCUAAUAAUCCAAAGUUGGACCACAAGAUGAUGUUUAUUGAGUUUUGAUUACUCUAGUCCCUAAAUUAUAUGAUUUUUUUCUUAAAUAUUAAAAGGAAGUUGUAUAUUUUGAACCUUAAUAGCCUAAAGUUGCAGCAUAAGAUGGAUAUACUAUACUUUUCAGUUUUCAUUAUGAAUUAUUUAUUCAUAAUGUGAAAGAUGGUGUCUAUUGAGCUUCAAUUACCUUAGUUCCCAUGCGGUAUGAAGUGACCUUGGAAAUGCAAUAUUAUGAAGUGUAUGCCUGUCUUGGAUUAGCCUACUACUUGUGUCGAUCUGCUUGCAUGAUAAAGAUCAACGAUGGUUUCACUAUUGAUCUUUAUAGUUAAGCACAAGGAUUUGAAAUCAUAUGAUUACACUAUUUUGUUGUCAAAUGGUGCUGAAAAUCUUGCAAUCUGGAGGUAUUCUCAUCAUUCUCAUUUCUUAAUUUCGUUGGAGGUAUUUGGUCUUCUAUUGCAAUUUUAGUGUGUGUAAAUAUUAUUCUCUAUUGUUGCAUGCAUUAAAGAUUUGAAGUUAAGACAUCCAAGACUUGUUUGUAGUAUUAUUUUAAUCAAUUUAUCACAUUAUAAGAUGUAUACUUGUUGUAUGUGAUGAACAAGAAAAUGGAACCAAGUCCAACUUGAAACAAAAACAAUGAAACUUCAGGUGUAGAAUCUCGUGUAGUGAUGUAUUGAAUUUGUACAGAAUUUGCUGCUACAAAGUCACAUAGUGCUGGUCUGUCAAUUUUAGCGGGCUUAAUAAUAGUUUGGCUUUAGAUUCCAUUAGAAUAAGUCACGACAAUGAUAUACAAUGAAGAGUAAUGGGAAAACUAAAGUUUGAUGGUUACAUUCAUGUAGUGUGUUUCUUGAAGAUGGCCAUAGUAACAUUUUUAUUAGGGGGUACAUAUGAGCCUUAUAGCCCCAAGUUCCAUUGCAAGAUGGAUAUAUUCUGUUCCAUAGUUUUGUAAGGGAUGAGAUGUUUCAAUGACCCUAAAGGAAAUUACAUUAUGAACUCUCUAUUCAUAAUGUGAAAGUGGAUGAAGGCCUUGAAUUCAAUUUUGAAUAUAAAUUUUUAUUGACAAUGUAAGGGGUGAUUGUGUUUUUAUGACCCUGAAUACAAUUUUGGAGUAUGCAAAUCCUUUAAGGUUGUUACUGUAAGAUAAAAUCCUUUUUCAUAAUCUGAAAAGUGGGUGUUAUAUUUUAUAAUUUAUGACCCCGAAUUCGACUCCAAGAUGAUAUACUUUGUUCCAUGCAAAGAUGGAAUGUCUUGAUGACCCCAAAGUAAACUACGGUAUGACCUCUUUAUUCAUAAUGUGAAAGUUGGAUGAUGCCCUAAAUGCAAUUUUUUAACAUGAAUUUGUAUUAAUAAUGUACAGGAUGGUACCUAUUAGUGGAGGUGGCAUAAUAAACAUGAUAAUGGCUUUUAAGCUUUUUAAAAUUCUCAUUUAAGAAUUUGUAAUGGUAAGCAUUUUUUCCUCAAUCUGGAUAACAUGGAUCUUGAUUGAAGAUGCUGAAAAUAAAGGUUACAUUUACACCUAGAUGGAAGGUUAGUUAAGUUACAUUACAUAUCUAGUGUUUCUUCAUGGGGUCGUGAAGGUAUUAGGUCUAUAUAGUAGUAAAGUCAUGCACUUCUAUGCAUGACUUUCAUAUGGAAAAUUGUGUUAUUCAAAUUUCAUUACUACAUGCAUAUGUGGCUUUAUUGCUUUUUUCCACUAUGGGAAUCACUCGUCAUAGUAAUGCACAUGUCACUACUAGAAUUUUGAAUAACUACAUGGCCAUCUACUUAUAAUUUAAAGUAAUAAUCUUCUCAUUUCAUUGUCAUAUUCUUUGCUUCAGUAUUUAAUUCCAUUCUUUGAUGAUUUGUGUUGUGUUUCAAUUUGUCUGCUUUGUUAUUAAUGUUUUUAUUCCAUAACAAUUCGUUGUUUGAAUUGAAAGCUAUUCAGCCAACAUUUAAUCCAUUCUUUGCAGCUACAUAUAUAUCAGUUGUGUCUAAUUUUCUGCUCAUUUAUAUGUGCAUGAUUGUAUGCAGAAAAGUUCCUCCUUUUUCCUCCAUAGCAGAAUCAAUUUGUGUAGGAAUUAUGAAAUUGAAUAUCUAUCACAAUCCAGCAACACGUGUACCAACUAAGGAAGCAUUCAAAUUAUCUCUUCAAAGGUGGUAUCACACAUUAUCUUCCAUCCACCUGCACCAUUCAUUUUCCCAUUCAACUAUAUACUUUUGGUUUAGAGAAGUACUCACCUAUUACAACCAGCAUGAGGAUUGUACUGAAACCAUUGGUUGGUUGAUAUCUAUAGUUUUACUUAAACAUUUUGGUUUGAUGUAAAACUUGUCAAUGUAUGUUUACUUGUUGGUGUUGGAGAACAGGACUUGAAUCUAAGGUGAAUCAUCUGACAUAUUAUUGCAGAUGUGCAUCAUAGUACCUUCUUUAUGAAAAGAUCUCAAGGAUACAUGGAAGGACUUGAAUCUAAGGUGAAUCAUCUGACAUAUUAUUGCAGAUGUGCAUCAUAGUACCUUCUUUAUGAAAAGAUCUCAAGGAUACAUGGAAGAUAUUGAAAGUUCAAUUGUUGUGCCGAGACAUGAUACCUUCCCGAAGUAUCCUUAUUUCUAGAAUAACUACUAUUUCUGGAAGAGUAAGAUGCAGUUGUUCCUAAAAUCACAAGACACACGCAUGUGGUGCAUCAUUACAGAUGGGAACUUCAUACCAAGAAUUGACCAAAACGACUCAAGAUUUUCUGAAAAAAAAGAAACAUAUUGGACAACAAAAGACAAAAUUAAGGUACUUCUAAACUCUAAAGCUUAAUUAUUUUUAUCAUGUGCCUUAAGUAAGGAAGAAAGUGAAAGAGUCGAUGAAUGUGAUACGACAAAAAGGGUAUAAGACACACUACAAACUCAUCAUGAAGGGACAAAUCAUGUCAUAGAGACAAGAAUUGAUAUCUUCAUACAAAAGUUUGAACUUUUUGAAAUGAACGAAGGAGAAACUAUUGAUGAAAUGUAUUUAAGAUUUACAACUAUAGUAAAUGAAAUGUGUUAUCUAGGCAAAACAUACUUAGUACAAGACAGAGUAAGAAAAAUCAUGAGAUGCUUUCCAAUCAUAUGAGACCAACAAUGACAACCAUAGGUCAAGUUAAGAAUCUUGAGAUACCCGGAUUAGAAGAACUCAUUGGAACCUUAUGAACACAUGAAAUGCUACUGCAAGAGGACAAACCAACAAAUAAAGGUAAAAUAAUAGCCAUCAAAGCAUCUCAAAAUCCUCAAGAAAACAUACCCUAAAAACCAGAUGAAAGAGAAGACUUAGAAGAAAUUGGACAAAAAGAUGUUAAUGAAGAAAUAGUUAUGCUUACAAGAAAAAUCCAAAGCAUGAUGAGGAGAAGAUAUCAAAUCAAGAAAAGCUUUCCAAAUAAAAAAGUAAAUUUUAAAGCAGAAGUAGAUAAAAGUCAGAUUACAUGUUUUGGGUGCAACAAACUAGAACAUUACAAAACUGAAUGUCCCUUAAAUAAAUGGGCACAAAAAAGAUUCCCAUUCAAGAAAAAAUCCAUGAUGGUUACUAGCGAUGAUUAUGAUGAAUCAGAAACAGAAGAGACUGAAGAGGCCAACAUAUGUUUAAUGGCAAACUAAGAAGACAAUGAGGUGAUAAAUUCUGAACUAUGUUCUUUAUGCGAACAAAUGAAAAAAGAGUUUGGUAACCUGAUAAACGAUUCAAAUUUUCUUGUUAAAAAAUGUAGUUCUUUAAAAGAACAAGUUUACAAAGAAAAAAGAGAAAGCUCAAGCUAUGAUUGAUGAACUAAAAAGUAUCAUUCAAAGUGUCAAGAAUUAGAGUAAAAAUAUAUUUCUUGAAUGAAUUAUAUUGGUAAUAC